UUGCUCACUUAGGCAGCACAUAUACUAAAAUUGAAACGAUACAGAGCAGGUUAGCAUGGCCCCUGUGCCAGGAUGACACGCAAAUUCGUGAAACAUUCCAUAUUUUU
rnacentral:snRNA from 1 species